UUAGGCGAGACGAGGCGGGUGCUGAGUCGAGCGGGACGAGACGGGCGCAGAGGUACCGUGACCCAUGCGAUACGGGGCGGCAGAGGCCAGAAGAAACGGGCACCGCUGCCGCACGGCUAGACCGGCGGGGCGCCGGCCCGUGCUAGACCUCCUGGUCGUCCGCCACCACGUGCCAGACCCGCCGCCACUGGACGCGCCGGGACUACGACGUGGCUGCGGAGGAAGGAGGCAGCGGGUCCAGGUUCCGCCGAGAGAAGAUCGGUUGGAGGUCGGUACGUAGCAGGGAAAGAGGAACCGCCUGAGAGAGGAGGAGAUCUCUUCAUCGUGCCCCGAGCAACGACACGGACUCGGCGGUGUUCCUGCAGCCCACCUCCCCUAGGACUUCAACGACGUCCAUCUUUUGCCGCCUUGUAAACUACACCACUUGAUCGACUUCCUUCUCGAUACCACCUGUCUUGGUUCUGAACGUUACCUACACGUCUUUAUCGAUAUCCUCCUCGAUACCCACUGUCUAGGUUCUGUACUCUAAGAUUGGUAGAAGAACGCUUCCGAAAGAACGUUUAGUCACCUACAUUGGUACAGUAUCAAACUAAAUUCACUGUACCUUGGAACUGUCAUCAGUGUACGAGAAAAUAGGAAAAAUAACGAUCGUAAAAAUAGUGAGAUCUAUAAGCCAAAGAUUACAGUAAACUUAAUUCUAGAAAAACAGUGAGUAGGUACCUAGGAAACGUAUACUCUCCAUAAAACACACUAACGUUGGUCAGUAAUACAAACCACAAACUUGUAUAUAGUACUAUAUAGAACGACCAUGACAACACGAUAGUACCUUUUUUGCAUCCAUCCAUACUAAGAUGGUAGAGUGAAAGAACUGCUCAAUUUUACAGGUAUAAACAAUUAGGGUCAUACUCGAUGUCUAAUAUAAAAUAUUCAAAGGUACAAUUAAGGAUUUCCAAACGAUGACUAAAAUCGGAUAUUGAGAAGAUGAAAAUUGGUGACCAAUACGGAAAAAAAGACCAUGUCUCACGAAACAUCACAGUCACUAAAUGUUCCCACUACGAAACCACGAUAACAAGUAGCAAAGUUACAGGGGUUUCGCCACGGAAGUAAAAGAGAAAUAUGGCGGAUGUACAAAGCCUCUACCAGCUACCCCUCUACCAGGUGGAGACUACGUCGACCUCUGCGACGACCGUGAAUCGGACCUGGUCGUGUACCGCCUCUUGGUUCGACGUCUCCUGGCUCCGAAGAACACAGGCAUGCUUUCGCUUCGACAUGGCUAACCAUCACCUUCCUCGCCCCGUGCCCAUGUACUUCGGACCUACAUUAGACGAAAUUUGAUAAAAAUUCCCUUACGUAAUGUCGUAUGUCGUUCAAGUCUGGUUCUUUUGACCGUAAAACUAAGAGAGUUUAGAUAACCUUUUUCAAGUAACGAAUGACUUCUCCGUAUACACGAUUCCACUGCUGGUCAUCUUUCCUGUUGAGUCGGCACUUGUAAUUUUUUCUCGUUUGUGCUAAGACCGAAACCUCAGACUCGGCCAUAAGUGAACUUACACAUUUCAAAACACAAAGAAAAGAACUUAUUGUACAGAUAAUAUAAAUCCAAGUGUAUACUCUAAAGAGACCCGCUUGUUAGAAGUAUAAAUAUAGUAGCAGUCACACCUGGUACAAACUAUCGUCGUCGGGAUCAAAGAACAGUAAAAGUAUCAAAACACUUUGAAAAGAAUCAACCAGACAAGUAAACAGUUCUUGAACAACACGUUCAAUAAUACAAUAUAUAAUCUUGUUAAUAUGGAUAUAUAUUUUUUGAUCCUGUCCUGCUACGAAUUACGUAAUCAAACAUG
rnacentral:rRNA from 1 species